rnacentral:lncRNA from 1 species
ACAUAUAUUCACUACUACACCUCUGUUCUAGCUCUAAGAGAAGUCUUCGAUCCCCAUGUUAAUUUGCUGGGAAGCAAACUUUUUAGUUAGUUUAGCUUCAUUCGAUCGAGCCAAUUGUGCUAGACGCUAAGAAUGAGGGGCAGCAGGAAGAACGCUAGCAAUUUGAAGUGAGCUACAUGUAGUGACCCUCUAACAAUCAGACGAUUCAAUGGAAGAGUUGGACGAAUCUUUUCUUCCACUGCACAGGUUGUUUCAAGUUGUUUCAACAGAUGAGU